ACAGUGGGGAAUAUUGCACAAUGGGCGAAAGCCUGAUGCAGCAACGCCGCGUGAACGAUGAAGGUCUUCGGAUCGUAAAGUUCUGUCGCAGGGGAAGAUAAUGACGGUACCCUGUGAGGAAGCACCGGCUAACUACGUGCCAGCAGCCGCGGUAAUACGUAGGGUGCUAGCGUUAUCCGGAUUUACUGGGCGUAAAGGGUGCGUAGGUGGUCUUUCAAGUCGGUGGUUAAAGGCUACGGCUCAACCGUAUUAAGCCGCCGAAACUGGAAGACUUGAGUGCAGGAGAGGAAAGUGGAAUUCUCAGUGUAGCGGUGAAAUGCGUAGAUAUUGAGAAGAACACCAGUAGCGAAGGCGGCUUUCUGGACUGUAACUGACACUGAGGCACGAAAGCGUGGGUAGCAAACAGGAUUAGAUACCCUGGUAGUCCACGCCGUAAACGAUGAGUAUUAGGUGUCGGGGGUUACCCCCCUCGGUGCCGCAGUUAACGCAUUAAAUACUCCGCCUGGGGAGUACGCACGCAAGUGUGAAACUCAAAG
rnacentral:rRNA from 1 species